GUUGUUAUUUAUGUAUUAUUGUCAUUUUGUUUAUUUUCUUUGGUUACAUCUUCUGACAUCAGACUCGGACUUCUCUUGAACUGAAUUUUAAUGUGCGUAUUGUUAUGCGUUUACUUUUCUACAUUGGUUAGAGGUAUAGGGGGAGGGUUGAGAUCUCACAAACAUGUUUAACCCCGCCGCAUUUUUGCGCCUGUCCUAAGUCAGGAGCCUCUGGCCUUUGUUAGUCUUGUAUUAUUUUAAUUUUAGUUUCUUGUGUACAAUUUGGAAAUUAGUAUGGCGUUCAUUAUCACUGGACUAGUAUAUAUUUGUUUAGGGGCCAGCUGAAGGACGCCUCCGGGUGCGGGAAUUUCUCGCUACAUUGAAGACCUGUUGGUGACCCUCUGCUGUUGUUUUUUUUUAUUUGGUCGGGUUGUUGUCUCUUUGACACAUUCCCCAUUUCCAUUCUCAAUUUUA
rnacentral:lncRNA from 1 species